CUACGGCGGCGCCGCCGGUGAAAUCCCACCUUUCACUUGUUUCCUUGCCUUCCCACUUCACACCAGCUUUCUCUCGUCACCAAUUUUCAAAAUCCGAGCACCUGACUCCCCAAAUUGGAUUUUCAUUCUCAUAUAUAUAUCUAAACAUCGAUUGAAAUUCAGAUUUCUGCUAUCUUCCUAAAAUCUCGAUAUGCAGAUUUCAUUUCUCUUAUUAUUUAUCAUUCAAAUUGAAACCUAGAUAAUUUUCUAAAAACCUAAACAUAAAAAAAAAUCUCUGAAACAGCCGCAUCAAUUUGUUUGGUGGACAAAAUUACAAAUUCUGAAGAAUGGGUCACAGUUGAAAGAAGAAGAAGAUGAAGAAGAAGCGGCGAGGAGGGAGGACGAAGAGACCGAAUCAGUGGAUUUUUCGGCCACUCUGCUUCCACCAUUUAUGACCUCUUUAACCUCUUCAUUUGUGGAGAGAUAAAGCUCCAAACUCAAUUUGCCUGCAUCGUCCUCAAGCCCACGGAAACACACAAAGG
rnacentral:lncRNA from 1 species